rnacentral:rRNA from 1 species
UACGGGGGGGGCAAGCGUUGUUCGGAAUUACUGGGCGUAAAGGGCUCGUAGGCGGCCAACUAAGUCAGACGUGAAAUCCCUCGGCUUAACCGGGGAACUGCGUCUGAUACUGGAUGGCUUGAGUUUGGGAGAGGGAUGCGGAAUUCCAGGUGUAGCGGUGAAAUGCGUAGAUAUCUGGAGGAACACCGGUGGCGAAGGCGGCAUCCUGGACCGACACUGACGCUGAGGUGCGAAAGCGUGGGGAGCAAACAGG